rnacentral:rRNA from 1 species
AUAGCGUAUAUUAAAGUUGUUGCAGUUAAAAAGCUCGUAGUUGAACCUCGGGCCUGGCUGGCCGGUCCGCCUCACCGCGUGCACUGGUCCGGCCGGGCCUUUCCUUCUGGGGACCCGCAUGCCCUUCAGUGGGUGUGCUGGGGAGCCAGGACUUUUACUGUGAAAAAAUUAGAGUGUUCAAAGCAGGCCUAUGCUCGAAUACAUUAGCAUGGAAUAAUAGAAUAGGACGUGUGUUUCUAUUUUGUUGGUUUCUAGAACCGCCGUAAUGAUUAAUAGGGAUAGUCGGGGGCAUCAGUAUUCAAUUGUCAGAGGUGAAAUUCUUGGAUUUAUUGAAGACUAACUACUG